rnacentral:rRNA from 1 species
UGAGGAAUAUUGGACAAUGGAGGUAACUCUGAUCCAGCCAUGCCGCGUGCAGGAAGACGGCCCUAUGGGUUGUAAACUGCUUUUAUACAGGAAGAAUUGCGAUCACGUG